rnacentral:rRNA from 1 species
AAUCAUCGAAUCUUUAAACGCAUUUUGCGCCCGAGCCCUCGGCCGAGGGCAUGUCUGCCUGAGCGUC